AGUAACGGCGAGUGAAGCGGCAACAGCUCAAAUUUGAAAUCUGGCUCUUUCAGAGUCCGAGUUGUAAUUUGCAGAGGGCGCUUUGGCUUUGGCAGCGGUCCAAGUUCCUUGGAACAGGACGUCACAGAGGGUGAGAAUCCCGUACGUGGUCGCUAGCUAUUGCCGUGUAAAGCCCCUUCGACGAGUCGAGUUGUUUGGGAAUGCAGCUCUAAAUGGGAGGUAAAUUUCUUCUAAAGCUAAAUACUGGCCAGAGACCGAUAGCGCACAAGUAGAGUGAUCGAAAGAUGAAAAGCACUUUGGAAAGAGAGUCAAACAGCACGUGAAAUUGUUGAAAGGGAAGCGCUUGCAGCCAGACUUGCUUGCAGUUGCUCAUCCGGGCUUUUGCCCGGUGCAUUCUUCUGUAGGCAGGCCAGCAUCAGUUUGGGCGGUGGGAUAAAGGUCUCUGUCAUGUACCUCUCUUCGGGGAGGCCUUAUAGGGGAGGCGACAUACCACCAGCCUAGACUGAGGUCCGCGCAUCUGCUAGGAUGCUGGCGUAAUGGCUGUAAGCGGCCCGUCUUGAAACACGGACCAAGGAGUCUAACAUCUAUGCGAGUGUUUGGGUGUCAAGCCCGAGCGCGUAAUGAAAGUGAACGGAGGUGGGAACCCGCAAGGGUGCACCAUCGACCGAUCCUGAAGUUUACGGAAGGAUUUGAGUAAGAGCAUGGCUGUUGGGACCCGAAAGAUGGUGAACUAUGCUUGAAUAGGGUGAAGCCAGAGGAAACUCUGGUGGAGGCUCGCAGCGGUUCUGACGUGCAAAUCGAUCGUCAAA
rnacentral:rRNA from 1 species